rnacentral:rRNA from 1 species
CCUACGGGAGACACCAGUGGGGCAUAUUGGGCAAUGGGCGCAAGCCUGACCCAGCAACGCCGCGUGAAGGAAGAAGGCUUUCGGGUUGUAAACUUCUUUUAAGAGGGAAGAGCAGAAGACGGUACCUCUUGAAUAAGCCACGGCUAACUACGUGCCAGCAGCCGCGGUAAUACGUAGGUGGCAAGCGUUGUCCGGAUUUACUGGGUGUAAAGGGCGUGUAGCCGGGCUGACAAGUCAGAUGUGAAAUUCCGGGGCUCAACCCCGGACCUGCAUUUGAAACUGUUGGUCUUGAGUAUCGGAGAGGCAGGCGGAAUUCCUAGUGUAGCGGUGAAAUGCGUAGAUAGUAGGAGGAACACCAGUGGCGAAGGGGGCCUGCUGGACUGCAACUGGCGUUGAGGCCCGAAAGCGUGGGGAGCAAACAGGAUUAGAUACCCGGGUAGUC